rnacentral:lncRNA from 1 species
AAGGCCGGAGAUUUCACUUUUGUGCUUGGAGCUGGCGCUGGAACCGCUGCUGGUGGAGAGGCGAGAGGAGCCGGUGGAGGAGUUGCGGGAGGAGGAGUUGCAGGUGGAGGAGUGGCCGGUGGGGGAGUGGCCGGUGGUGGAGUAGCCGGUGGAGGAGUGGCGGGCGGAGGGGUGGCCGGUGGAGGUGUUGCUGGUGGAGGGGUUGCUGGUGGAGGAGUGGCUGGUGGAGGAGUGGCCGGUGGUGGAGUGGCUGGGGGUGGAGUGGCCGGUGGUGGAGUGGCAGGCGGAGGAGUAGCCGGUGGCGGGGCUGAUACCGGAGGAGGAGACGAGGCGGGAGGAGAUGUAACAGCAGUUGGUGGUGACGCGGCGGGAGUUGUGGGGGUAGGAGGAGCUGGAGUGGCGGUGGGCCCUCCAGCGGGAGCCUGACCUCCAACGCCGGCGAAGACAAUGCAGACCAAUCCAAG